GGUGUGAGUUUGAGAAUUUGGGGCUGAUGUGAGGAAACUGUUAUUGAGGUGCUAUCAUGAGGUAAAUUAAGACUUCUUGGAGGUAUAAUAUGAUUAAAAUCUAAUCUAUCAUAGAGGUAGUGCAAAUUUGAAGCUUAGGGUGCUUUUAGUGUGAAAAUGGAGUUUUGGAUAGUGAGAUUUUGAAGUAAGGGAUUUAAAUUGUUUUGGAGAGUUUGGAACAGGUUAUGGGACCAAUUAAAACUUGUAUAGAUAUUCAAAUCAGUAAAAGUCUGUCAGAAAGGUGAAAAUUGCUUCAUAGAUUGGUUCAUUUUGGAGGUUUUGGGGGUUGGAAAUUUAAAGUAGAGUGACUAUCAGCAAUCUGAGGUGUUGGAAUGUACUAACAAGUGUAUUUGGACCUGGUUAUACAGUUAGGAAACUGAUAUGGGGACUAGAAAGUGUAGAUUUGAGUUUGGGUAGCUUAUAAGAGUGAAUUUGGGUUUUCAUAGGUCAAUUUAGGUUUGGAGUGAUCAAUUCAAGUUAGAGGUUUGUUUUUAGAUGUUUCUCAGCGCCUAAGAGUGUUUAGGAAUCAUUUAAACUUGUGUAAAGGGUCACCAAAUUCAAAAUAGGUGAAUUUUGGAACCUGGUGCAGUGCUGAGUGCUCUCCAAGGGCCCUUGGGUGUCAUUGUUGCGAGAAGAACUCGCCAGAGUGCCCCUUGAGUGCUCUGUUCUAGGGGUUUGGCGCCCGGGCCCCUUUUUGGGGCGCUCAACACCACUCAGCCAGAUUUUAAUUUUUUUCAACUGAAUGUCCAUUUUUAACAUUCUUUAUAUCGUUUUAGGGGGUUUUGGACCCUUCCAGAGUUGUUGGUGAGAGUUUCAAAGCUGUUUUCCUUAUCUAAAUGUGACUAUCAAGAUGUCAUGAAGAAAUUGUGUUAUGUCAUUUCUGAUGACUUGUAUGUGUGUUUCUAUUUCUAAUGUAUGAUUAGUAGUCUCAUGUAUUGGUGUACUAUGUGAAUGCGCGGUGAUCUCAAUGGUUUCAAAGGUAUGGAAGAGAGUUCCAAGGAGGAACUUCUCAGUGGUGGUUUCAAGUAUCAUUAGUAUGAAUGCAGGGAGCUCAGUCUUAAGGGUUAUCCUAAGACUCUAAUGGUCUUUCAUUCUCAAGUAGAGAAGAUUGACACAAGUGGUGAGAGUAGCAGGAGGUCUUAGUCUUGGGUGCUUCUAGUAUGAUUCAAGGCGUGGAACAGACUAACCUUGUGAGUGUGGUAGGGUGAAACCCAUUGGCAAUGACUUUGCAAAGCAGUAAAAGCUACCACAAGUGCACAACCUGCCAUAGUCCGACAUUCAUUCUAAGUACGGAUAGUUCUGUUAAAGUAUGGUCAUGUGUAAAGUGUUUGGUUGGUUAAAUUGUGUUACCUGUAUCAUAUGUGGAAUGUUUAAAAUACUUAAGUAUAUUAUGAAAUGUUUUGUAUCACUAGCUUAUCAUUGUUUUUGUGUUUUGUCUGUCUGUGUGCUGUUUUCUCCUUUGCAAUCAUCACCUUAACCAAUGUUAGCUUAGGAAGGGGACAUCUUUUUAGUUGAUUCAACAGUUGGUUGAGAGAGAAGCAAUAUGAUAGAUAGUUUUUGCUCUUUAAGGGUAUAUAAUCUUCUACUAUAUUAGUCUCAGGUUCCUUGUAAGUUAUCAUGUAUGUACAUUUUAUUUUAAUAGUUUUACACUAUUAAAAUAGGAUGUUACAAUUAGGCUAAACCCUUGAUCCAAGAAGAGAAGAGUAAGAAAAGGUUGGGCAAAGUAUAUGAGAGGAAAACGACUAAGAAGGGUGACGUGGCACACUAGGGAGGAAUAGGUUGGUUAGAAGAGAAAGAAAGGGGUAUUGGUUGUUUAAAAGGAUCAGGGAGGUAGGUUUUGGGGAGGCAUUUAUUUUGAUGCUUAAUUGGAGAGGGAGCCAUUUUCGGUUUCUCUUAGGAGCUUUUCUCUGGGCAGUGGGAUAGUUGUAUCCUUAUGAUUUCUUGUUUAACAAUAUUAAAGAAUCAAAUAUAUUCCAUUUGAGUCUUCAUUUACUCUUUUCUACAUUUUUAAAUUGUGUCAAGAACAUUGAAGGGUGAGAUAGACCUUGCAUAAGGGGUUGCUAUAAGUACGAAGCACAAGGGUCUACCCUUCCAACUAAAUUCAAGUGCCAACUACCUUGUCUCCUUCGGCUUCGAUAACUGAGUCUACCCUUCUAAUUGCCCUCCGAAAAGGUAUAUGUUUUACAAGUAAUCUCUCUCCACAUUAUAUUACUUUAAGUUAUCAUGGACUGUCUUCACCUUUUAUACCUUCCUUUUGUCUAUUUCUUCUGUGACCAUACCAAAAUUUGUUAUUGAUGCCUUAGCCUAUCCUGGUUGGCGUUAGGCCAUGCUAGAUGAAUUAAGUACUCUUUAGAAUAAUGGAACUUGGGAGUUUGUCCCAUUACUGUUUAGAAGAUCUAUUGUUGGUUGCAGGUGGGGUUUUUCUAUCAAAGUUAGUCCUGAUGGAACUAUUUAUCGCCUCAAAGCUCGUCCUGUGGCCAAAGGUUACACACAAAUUUUUGGAUUGCAUUAUGGUGAUACUUUUUCUUCAAUGGCAAAGAUGACAUCUGUUUGUUUAUUUAUAGUUGUGGUGACUCUUCAACAAUAACUUCUUUAACAACAGGAUGUCAAAAAUGCAUUCCUUAACAAAGAUUUGUAAGAAGAGAUUCAUAUGUAACAAACUCCAAGAUUUGUUCCUUAGGGAGAGUCUUCUGGGUUGGUAUGUCGUCUUCGCAAAUCCUUAUAUGGCCUAAAACAAUCUCCUAGGGCCUAGUUUGGAAAAUUUAGUAACUUUGUUCAACAAUUUGGUAUAACUCGGUGUAAGGCAGAUCAUUCAAUCUUUUACCGUCAUCAAGUGUUGGAUGUAUCUACUUGGUAAUAUAUGUUGAUGACAUUGUUCUUACAAACAGUGACAAUCAUGGCAUCUCUUUGCAACCAUUUUCAGACCAAAGAUCUUGGCAAACUUAGAUAUUUCUUGGGUAUUGAGGUGGCACAAUCCAACGAUGAUAUUGUUAUAUCUCAAAGGAAGUAUGCAUUAGAUAUUUUGGAGGAAACUAAAUUGAUGAAUUCAAAAUCUGUGGACACACCCAUGGAUUCCAAUACUAAACUUCUACCAAAACAGGGGAGCCUAUGUCAGACCCCGAGAAAUAUAGAAAACUAGUUGAAAAAUUGAAUUAUCUUACAGUUACUCGUCCUGACAUUUCCUUUGCAGUUAGUGUGGUAAGCACAUUCCUUAAUUCUCCAUGUGAAAAUCAUUGGAAUGUAGUUAUUCGUAUAUUAAAGUACAUUAAAGGAUCUCCUAGAAAAGGGUUGUUAUAUGGCUCUAAAAACCAUACAAGAGUGGUUUGUUAUUUUGAUGCUAGUUGGACAGGAUCUCCUUCUGAUAGAAGGACUACAUCCGAAUAUUGUGUCUCCAUUGGUAGUAACUUGAUCUUUGGGAAAAGCACGCAAUAGAGUGUUGUGGCAAGAUCUAGUGCAGAAGCAGAAUAUAGAGCUAUGGCCUCAACCACUUGUGAGCUUGUUUGACACUUAUAUUUGACAACGAAGUUGCUCUUCAUAUUAGUUUUAAUCCAAUCUUUCAUGAGACGACCAAGCUUGGUACAAAUGAUUUUACGGGGGCUGAUAAUUGAUUAGAUUUGUAACAAGCUUGGUACAUAUGAUUUGUAUUCACCAACAUGAGAGAAAGUGUUAGAUAUAUUAUCUUUAUCUUUUCUUUAUCUUUUAUCUUUAGUUUGUUUGUUAUUAUUUUUUAUUUGUACUUUGAGCUUAGCCCAUAUUUCUUUUAUUAUAAAUAGAGAACCAAAUGUAUGUAUUCAACACAAGAGACUAAUCGCUUACAUAGUUUUCACUAUAUUCAAAAAUAAUAUAGCAAAUCUUAUAAUGACCAUGAUGUGCAUUUGAGGUGUAUUUCGGAAGCACUUAUACUUGAGAAAUUGUAUGCUAACAUGGAAAAAUGUGUGUCCUGCAUGGACCAUGUUAUUUUUCUUGGAUUUAUUAUUAGCUCACAAGGACUGCAUGUUGAUCAAAAGAAGGUGAAAACCAUUCAAAAUUGGUCAAACUCUAAAAAUGUAAGUGAGUAAGGAGCAUUCACAUCUUAUUAAGUAUUUUAGCCUUUUGGUUACAUCGCUUAAUGAAAUUAUAAAGAAAAAUGGUGCUUUUGAGUGAUCAACAAGAGAAGGCUUUAACUGCUUUGAAAGAAAAGUUUAAUAAUUCUCUUGUUCUUGCUUUGCCUAAUUCUCUUAAAUCCUUUGAGUUUGAAUGUGAUCCAUCUCAGGUAGGCAUCAAGGCUGUGUUGAUUCAAGAGGGGCAUCUCAUUGCAUAUUUUUGUGAUAAACUGAAUGGAGGGAAAGGACACUUGAACAAGAGGCAAGUGGGUGGAAUUUCUUGAACAAUUUUCAUGUUAUUAGACAUAAGAAAGAGGAUAAAGAUUUCGGUUUGACAACAAAUCUUUCGCAACAGGAUGAAGAUUUGGGUUUGACAACAAAUCUUUCUCAAGAGGUAGCAAGGGAAUGACAUGUACAUCGAAGCCCAAGGAUAUGAUUACAAUGAUUAAGACCAAGACCAAGUUCAAAAUUUAGGUGGAUCCAUGACUAUAGAAGGCACAGAGAAGACAAGGCAUUACAACAUAAGGUAGCUCAUCUAAUGUAGGCUAAAUUGUGGAAGGCCCAACAAUUUUAGGACACCAGGUUGAUUACAUAUGUAUAACAUGCUUGGAGGGAUAAUAUCAAAUUGUUUAAAAUAUUGAUUGAAGUUAGGAUUUGAACUUCACCACAAGUUUAAAAUGUAUUUAGUUAAGUUGGCAAAAGCAACUUUAUUUAUGAAUCAUUGGUUGAAACGCAUUGCACAUUGUAUAUCUCCAUGAAAUAAUUGAUUACACUGUUUGCAUAAUCUGUUAAAUUUCAUCAUAUAUCAGCAUUUGAUUAUCAAGGACAAAACAACUAUGUUUUAACCGAUUACAUUAAUUAUAUAAUCAAUUAAAACUUGUUGCUAUGCCAGUACAUGUUUGCUAAGUGCAUUGAGUUGUCUUGAAUGGAAAAGGUUUUCAAAAUUGUUUAAGUAUGAAACUUAACCGAUUACAUUAUUUUCCUAACUGGUUAAAAUGCGUUUUAUAUGAAAACCUUUUUCUUUGAAAGCCAUAAUUGUUAAUAACGGUCAUAUUUUAAAUGUUGUGGCUUGCACGAUAUGUUUAAUUGAUUGCAUGCACAUUUAAUCUAUUAAAUCCUAUGCAGAUGUAAAACUGUUAAAGCAGAAGAAAAAGCUUAAUUUAGAUUACAUUAAAUGCCUAUUCGAUUAAAAUGCGUCAGAGUUGAUUGCAUGCAUUGCUCUCUGUUCUUCAACGACUUUAUGAGUCUAAUCUUUCAUAACUGUUGGAAGUCCCACAUCGACUAGAGAUAAGGCCAAUUUAUAAUAUAUAAGUGNGGUGCAGACCUCACCUUACAAGCCGGUUUUGUGGGGUUGAGUUAGGCCUAAAACCCACUUCUAACAAUAACUAACUUGAUUGUUGAGAUUAAUUGUAGGAGCGUCCUGAUUUCUUGAAGAAUCAAAGAUUGUUACAUUGAAAAGAAAUCCUUAAAGAUUCUUGUAAGACUGAAGUGUUUUAAUAUAGCUGAUCAUUUUGUACAUUGAGGUGUACUCUUUCAAAUCAUUGUUCAUCUGUAAUGUGUUUGAUUGUGUCCCUGUUGCUUCAAGCCAGGAAGAGGACUUUGUGGAGUUCUAUUACUUAGAGUUGGGAUUGCUCUAAGGGGUGACAGAAAGUGAGUGAUCUUUCUGGGUUGCUAUAGUUGAUAUUGAGUUGAGAAAGGAGAGUACAUUUGAGAGGGUUGUUCUCUGUAUGUCUUGCUCUUAAAAGCUCUACCAAUAUAGUAGUUCACUUCAUCUCAGGUUGAUUGAAGGGAAACUGGACGUAGGCAUUGACUGAACCAGUAUAAACACCUGUGUUAAUCUCUCUAUCUCUUCUCUUUUACAUUGUUCAUAUACUUGUUUGAUUGCAUUCCAAAAAAACUUCAAAGAUUUCAAAAAACUUUUAAAGGAACAAUUUCUAAAAGAGUGUUGUAAUUUAAGAUAAUAUCUUUUAGAAU